ensembl:lncRNA MEG8 maternally expressed 8, small nucleolar RNA host gene
UGAGAUUGCGCCAUUGCACUCCAGCCUGGGCAACAAGAGUGAAACUCCAUCUCAAAAGAAAAAAAAAAGAAAACAAAACAAAAAAAGAAAAAACCAAUGUAAGUACCUGUUAAAGUUCUUGCUAUGGUUCCAGUGGUUUGCUUCCUAACUGUGUUAUUUAGAAAUUUGAAGUAUAUUUAAUGAAUGUCCUCCCUUCCCACUGGCCCUGCCAGGCAUGCUGCCAUCUGUUCUCUGGGACUUGUGAGUAGUACACUGCUCCUGUUAUUUCAUGUGCUUUGCUAAGUUGUUUCUUCUGUGUCUCAACUGAUCAACACACCCAGACCUAACUGAUUUCCAGGUUGGGGCUCUCCUAGAGAGUGCCUCUCUUGGUAGGAAUAAACUGGACACAGACAAGAGCCUCCAUGGUGUCUGCCUGUAUAACCAAGUUUUCUAUGAGAGGGACAAUGGGUCAUAGAUUGAACACUUGGGCAUUACAUCUGUGAGAAUAAGUCUAUAGUAAAUUUCAGUAAAUUUGAGGGAUCUAAUUAUGGGGUUUCAGUAGAUCCUGGGGAUUUAUUGCAUUAUUCGAAGGAAAUAAAUGAAAGAAUCAGCAAAACAUACAGACACACAUAUAAAUAAUUAAAGAUGAAGAGGAUAAAGCUGGAUUAAUUGAGGAAAAUGCUAUCAGACAGGAAUUUUUGGUUCUGUAAUUCUGAAACACUGCAAUGCAUUAAGAAACCUGUACAUCAAGGGUGUCACCUGUCUAGGGUAGGGUAAUAUAGAGUAGUUGUUCUCAAAUGCGAGCAUUGGAGUGACCUGGAGGGCUUGUAAAAUACAGAAGGUCACCUACAUUCUCAGGAUUUCUGAUUCAGUAGGUUUGGUGUGGGGUCUGAGAAUCUAAAUUUCUAAUAACUUAAUUUCUGUAGGUUCCAAUAGUUUCCCAAAUCAUGCUGAUGCUGCCUCCUGAGAAAUAUUUUCAGAAUCACUGAGAAAAAUGUAUGAAAUAGUUAAUGUCCUUGCUCUGUGUCAGUGGUGGAGGCUGUCUGCAGUAGGAGCAUGGAGACCAACAAUGGAUGCUCUUAAACUGAUUUAAGCACGCUUCCAUGGUCAGAAGCCUUAUGGUUGCCACAGGGUAUUAGGAGCAUGGAGACCAAUAAUGGAUGUCCUUGUUCUGAUUUGAGGAUGCCUCCAAGGUCACAUACUCUGUUUGCACCACGCUUAGGAAGGAGCGUGAAGACCAAGGGGAGGAAGAUGAUAAACACAGAUCAUGGAGGACUGUUUUAUCUGUUUGUGAUCUGCCGUCCUCUGUGAGCCUCAGGAUGGAUGUUUGCCAGCCGAUUCCAUGGUUACAAGCUCUAUAGCUGCAUCUAUGUGUUAGGAGCAUGAAGACCAAUAAUGGAUGCACUGAGCUGAUUAUGAAUUUAGCCCUGAUGAAGACUUGUGUUGCUGUCAUGAUAUGAAAGAUUCCAGUAAUGAACGCACUUGAGUUGAUUCAAGCACGCUUCCAUGGUCAUGAGCUCUGUGGUUGCAUCUGUGUGUUAGGAGCAUGCAGACCAAUAGUGAUAAUCUCGAGGUGAUUUAUGCAUUCUUCCAUGGCCACCAGCCUUAUGAUUGCAUCUGUGCGUCACAGCUUAGAGAUCAAUAAUGGAUGCAACAAGCUCUUUGAAUCAUUCUGUUGGGAUCAAGAUUGUUGUGUUCCCUCUGUUUGGAAAGAGACCAAGAAUGGAUACGCUCAGGUGAUUUAAGCAGUCUUCCAUGGCCACGAGCUCUGUGGUUGCCUCUGUAUAUUAAGAGCACAGAGAUUAAAAAUGGGUGCACUUGAGCCGAUUGAAACAUUCCUCCUUGCAUCUUUCUUCUGUGAUUGCAUCUAUUUGUUAGUAGCAUAGAGACCAAUAAUAGAUGGCUUGUGCUGAUGGAAGGAUUCCUCCCUGGUGACAUGCUGUGUCUGCCUCUUGAUUGGGAGCACGCAGACCUACAAUGAUGCACUUUUUAUGAUUUGAGAAUUCCUUCAUGGUCACGUGCUCUGUUUUUAUCAUGGUUGGGAGCCUGCAGAGCAAUAAGGGACAUGCCUUUGCUGAUUUGAGGAUUCCUCUGAGGUUGGGAGCUAAGUUUGCAUCAUGCUUAGAAAGGAGUGUGCAGACCUGUAAUGAUUGCACUUUGCUGAUUGAAGGAUUCCUUCAAGUCCAUGUGCUCCACUUGCACCAUUUUUAGGAUGGAGCCUGGAGACCUAUAAUGAACAACUUGUGCUGUGUUAAGGAUUCCUCCAUGAUCACGCGCCCCAUUUGUACACCAUGCUUGGGAAGGUGCAUGCAGACCAAUAAUGGACGUACUUGUGAUGAUUUAAAGAUGCCUCCAAGGUCACGUGCUCUGUUUGCACCAUGCUUAGGAAGGAGCGUACAGACCAAAAAUGGAUGAAUUGUGCACCUUGAAAAGUUCUUCCAUGGUCACCUGAGGCAUCUGCGUCAUGAUUAGGCUCCGGAUGACUAAUAAUGGACGUACUUGUUCUGAUUUGAGGACUUCUUCAUGGUCACAUGUUCUGUUUGCACCAUGCUUAGGAAGGAGCAUGUGUACCAAUAAUGGAAGCACAGAAGCUGGUUUUAAUAGUUAAGAGCUGUAUGGUCCAUCUCUGUGCUAGAAGCUGGAGACCAAUAACAGUCACUCCCUGCACUGAUUCUGCCAUGACCACUUGCUCUAUGGUUGUUUUAAGGAACCUACAGACAAAUAAUGGAUUAUCAUUGGUGAAGAUCUUAGCUGUUCCAUAGAAGGAACACACUUAUCACUACAGUGAUUCUGUAAUGAUGAAGACCUUUAUGGGUCAGUGAUGGGUAGACCAGAGCUGAUUAAAUUAUUCUCCCAUUGAUGAGGAACUUUACCUUAUCCCUCAGAGUAAGGAGAAUGUCAUAUAAUGAUGAAGAUCUUGACUGUUACCCAUGUGGCAAGGAGAGUGUAGAACAGG